GAUGAACGCUGGCGGCGUGCCUAAUACAUGCAAGUCGAGCGAACAGACGAGGAGGCUGCUCCUCUGACGUUAGCGGCGGACGGGUGAGUAACACGUGGAUAACCUACCUAUAAGACUGGGAUAACUUCGGGAAACCGGAGCUAAUACCGGAUAAUAUAUUGAACCGCAUGGUUCAAUAGUGAAAGACGGUUUUGCUGUCACUUAUAGAUGGAUCCGCGCCGCAUUAGCUAGUUGGUAAGGUAACGGCUUACCAAGGCAACGAUGCGUAGCCGACCUGAGAGGGUGAUCGGCCACACUGGAACUGAGACACGGUCCAGACUCCUACGGGAGGCAGCAGUAGGGAAUCUUCCGCAAUGGGCGAAAGCCUGACGGAGCAACGCCGCGUGAGUGAUGAAGGUCUUCGGAUCGUAAAACGCUGUUAGUAGGGAAGAACAAAUGUGUAAGUAACUAUGCACGUCUUGACGGUACCUAAUCAGAAAGCCACGGCUAACUACGUG
rnacentral:rRNA from 1 species